UACGGAGGGUGCAAGCGUUAAUCGGAAUUACUGGGCGUAAAGGGUGCGUAGGUGGUUUGAUAAGUUAACUGUGAAAGCCCUGGGCUCAACCUGGGAAGGCCAGUUAAGACUGUUGAGCUAGAGUAUGGGAGAGGGUAGUGGAAUUUCCGGUGUAGCGGUGAAAUGCGUAGAUAUCAAGAGGAACACCUGAGGUGAAGACGGGUUGCUGGGCCGACACUGACGCUGAGUGCGCGAAAGCCAGGGGAGCAAACGGG
rnacentral:rRNA from 1 species